rnacentral:lncRNA from 1 species
AGGUGGGUGUACACCCCGUGAGUUUUUGGAAGCAAUGUCAUUCUGUCUUCUUCUAGGUUUUACGAUUCACAUCACAGGCGGGGUGUACACCCCUUGUUAUAUUGGAUGGAAUCUCAUCCUCCUUCAACCUGUAUCUUUAGAACAAUAUCCCUUGGGGGCUGUCCAUCCCUUCAAUAUUGGUAGUAAUACCAUCUUCUCCUCUCCUGGAUAUAAAAAACAAUAUCACAGGAGGGGUGUACACCCCUUGCAAUGUUGGUAGUAAUAUCACCUCUCCCCUGUGCUUAUUAAGGACAAAAUCCCAGGGUGGCUGUACGGUUCCUACUUUUUUGAGAGUAAUAUCCAUUCACCCCCUGGAUAUCAGGAACCAUAUCACGGAAGAAGUGUCCACCCCUUCGAUAUUGUCAGCCAUGUCAUCUUCUUCCCGCUUGGAUAUUAGGAACGAUACCCCUGGGGUUGGGGCGGUGUACACCCACUGUGAUAUCGAAAGUAAAAUCAGCCUCUUUCCCGCUGGAUAUUAGGAACUCUAUCACAGGUGUGUGUGCACCUUCUGGGAUAUUGGGAGUACUAUCAGCCUCUACCCCGCUGCAUAUGAGGAACAACAUACAGGGGGCAGGGUGGUUACACCCCCUGCGAUAUUGACAGCAAUAUUCUUCUCUUUCCCCUGUACAUUAGGAACUACAUCACAGGGGUCUGUACACCUUCAGUGAUAUUGGGAUUCAGGUUAUCCUCUCCCCAACUGAAUGUCAAAAACGAUAUCACAGAAGGGUGUUCACCCCCUGCAAUAUGGCCAGUAACAUCAUCGUCUCUACCUUUGGAUACUAGGAACAACAUCACAGAGGGUGUGACACUGCCCCGUGGUAUUGGGCAUAAUGUUAUCCUCUCUUCCUCUGGAUAUUAGGAACGAUAUACCUGGUGGUGGGAGGUGGAGUACAUUAAGAACAAUAUCAGGCCGGGCGCGGUGGCUCAAGCCUGUAAUCCCAGCACUUUGGGAGGCCGGCAGAUCACGAGGUCAGGAGAUCGAGACCAUCCUGGCUAACACGGUGAAACCCGUCUCACUAAGAAAUACAAAAACUAGCCGGGUGAGGUGGCAGCCUGUAGUCCCAGCUACUCGGGAGGCUGAGGCAGGAGAAUGGUGAACCCGGGAGGCGGAGCUUGCAGUGAGCUGAGAUCCGGCCACUGCACUCCAGCCUGGGCUACAGAGCAAGACUCCGCAUCAAAAAAAAAAAAAAA